AGCAACCCUUGUUCUGGGAAUCUGGGUUGAGAAUCUGCAUGAAUUAUAUGAACACUGUCUACAGCGAGGCGGUGCACGAACACUUUGAACAUUCACACACUUAUGCAUAUCGUGGUAAAUGAACAUGCUAAUAGUGUGUGUUAGUUUCUUUCAGGAGAAAUAAACUCACAGAUGACAACAAGUCUGCCUCAUGAAGAACUCACCUGAAAUGGUUUUCCAACAAUCUUGAACGAGUUCCUGAAGUCACCAGCAGUGUCACCAGCACAGCACCCACACACCAUCACACCUUCUCCCUGCUCCACAGUGGAAACCACACAUUCAGGAACUGUCUGUUCUACAAAGAAAUGGUAGGUAGAGCCAAAAAUCUCAAAUUGGUAAUCAUCAGAACAAAGGAGAGUUUUCCACUGAUCAAAUGUCGAUUCCUUGUGGUUCUUGGCACAAGCAAGUCUCUUUUGCUUGUUGUUCUUCAGAAGUAAUGGAUUCUUUACCGAGACUCAUGCAGGCUUCCCUGAACAGUGGAUGUUGAAAUAUGUCUGCUGUUUGAACUCC